AACGAACGCUGGCGGCAUGUCUAACACAUGCAAGUCGAACGAAGCCUUCGGGCUUAGUGGCGCACGGGUGCGUAACGCGUGGGAAUCUGCCCUUUGGUUCGGAAUAACAGUUGGAAACGACUGCUAGUACCGGAUGAUGACGAAAGUCCAAAGAUUUAUCGCCAGAGGAUGAGCCCGCGUAGGAUUAGCUAGUUGGUGUGGUAAAGGCGCACCAAGGCGACGAUCCUUAGCUGGUCUGAGAGGAUGAUCAGCCACACUGGGACUGAGACACGGCCCAGACUCCUACGGGAGGCAGCAGUGGGGAAUAUUGGACAAUGGGCGAAAGCCUGAUCCAGCAAUGCCGCGUGAGUGAUGAAGGCCCUAGGGUUGUAAAGCUCUUUUACCCGGGAUGAUAAUGACAGUACCGGGAGAAUAAGCCCCGGCUAACUCCGUGCCAGCCGCCGCCGUAA
rnacentral:rRNA from 1 species